rnacentral:rRNA from 1 species
UACAGAGGGUGCGAGCGUUGUUCGGAAUUACUGGGCGUAAAGCGCGCGCAGGCGGCUCUUUAAGUCUGACGGUGAAAUGCCGGGGCUCAACCCCGUGCCCGCCGCGGAUACUGGAGGGCUGGAGACACGUAGAGGCAAGCGGAAUUCCGGGUGUAGCGGUGGAAUGCGUAGAGAUCCGGAAGAACACCGGAGGCGAAGGCGGCUUGCUGGGCCGACACUGACGCUGAGGCGCGAAAGCUAGGGGAGCAAACGGG